rnacentral:rRNA from 1 species
CCCCCGCCUGGGGAGUACGACCGCAAGGUUGAAACUCAAAGGAAUUGACGGGGGCCCGCACAAGCGGGGAAGUAUGUGGUUUAAUUCGACGCAACGCGAAGAACCUUACCAGGUCUUGACAUUGAUGGACAGAACUAGAGAUAGUUCCUCUUCUUCGGAAGCCAGAAAACAGGUGGUGCACGGUUGUCGUCAGCUCGUGUCGUGAGAUGUUGGGUUAAGUCCCGCAACGAGCGCAACCCCUAUCUUAUGUUGCCAGCACUUUGGGUGGGAACUCAUGAGAGACUGCCGCAGACAAUGCGGAGGAAGGCGGGGAUGACGUCAAAUCAUCAUGCCCCUUAUGACCUGGGCUGCACACGUACUACAAUGGGAGUUAAUAGACGGAAGCAAUACCGCGAGGUGAGCAAACCCGAGAAACACUCUCUCAGUUCGGAUCGUAGGCUGCAACUCGCCUACGUGAAGUCGGAAUCGCUAGUAAUCGCAGGUCAGCAUACUGCGGUGAAUACGUUCCCGGGCCUUGUACUCGCCGCCCGUCAAUCGCCGCCCGUGCACACCCCGCCCG